AGUGAACGCUGGCGGCAGGCCUAACACAUGCAAGUCGAGCGGCAGCGGGUCCUUCGGGAUGCCGGCGAGCGGCGGACGGGUGAGGAAUGCAUCGGAAUCUGCCCUUUCGUGGGGGAUAACCUAGGGAAACUUAGGCUAAUACCGCAUACGACCCACGGGUGAAAGCGGGGGAUCGCAAGACCUCGCGCGAUAGGAUGAGCCGAUGUCCGAUUAGCUAGUUGGCGGGGUAAAGGCCCACCAAGGCGACGAUCGGUAGCUGGUCUGAGAGGAUGAUCAGCCACACUGGGACUGAGACACGGCCCAGACUCCUACGGGAGGCAGCAGUGGGGAAUAUUGGACAAUGGGCGCAAGCCUGAUCCAGCCAUGCCGCGUGGGUGAAGAAGGCCUUCGGGUUGUAAAGCCCUUUUGUCCGGGAAGAAAUCGUCUGGGCUAAUACCCCGGGCGGAUGACGGUACCGGAAGAAUAAGCACCGGCUAACUUCGUG
rnacentral:rRNA from 1 species